rnacentral:lncRNA from 1 species
AAUAAAAGAUCAGAAUACAUCACAAUUAAGAGAGAGAAAAAGAGAGAGAAAUAGAGAGAGUUAUGAAUUUUAUGAGUGUUUUUCAAUCUUGUUAGAUAUUUUCAAAGGUCUUCAAAUUCAUAGAACAAUGAAUCCUAGAAUUCUCUUAGUCUCUCUAAAUUUCUCUUAUAACAAAAAAUAAUAAUUAAAUAGUCACCUGAAAACCAUUUCAUAAACUAAAAUAUCACACUAAUUAACACGCAAUUUAGUGAUGUGAUAAAUUACGUCGUCAUAAAAAUGCAAGUUACAACUUAUAUGUAAAAUGAAAAACAUUAAAAUCAAAUCACAACUUAUUAGAAUUAUCAACACUUUCAUUUCUAUCACCUUUUUAUUUUUCCACCACAAAUCCACCAGACCUUAUUAUUCCACCACCACUUAUCCCUAUAGAUAGCGAUACCACAAAAUCCAUUUUCAUUUUCAUAUUUAUUACUUGGAAUUUUACUUCCCCCUCCCAUGGUUUCAAAACUUCCACAAGAAUCACCAUUUUCACCAGGCCAAACCCAACAUCAAAGAUUAUACAACAACCAUCGAUUCUCGCUACUCUAACAUCAGAUGUUAUUCUUUCUUUUCUAGAAAUUCCACAAGAACCACAUAUUUCAC